UGUUUCUUGCACAUUAUUGCAUGCAUACAUGGUCUUAUCACGUGGUGCUUGACAGAUCCACAUUGCGGAAAUAAUUAUGGAAUAUUGAAGAACAAUAAUGCUACUAUAUCAUUUAUUUCUCUUGUUUGACUAUUGUUAUAUAUUAUUUUUGCUAAGUCUUGUACCAUGGGUUUAAUAUGCGGAUUCAAUAUGUGGAUAAGGAUGAUUCUUCAAUGAUAUCAUUACAUACAAGGAGCCAUUUUGUUCUUUGCCAUACCAACAUUCUUUGAGCUUCUAUAUGUUCUUCUCUAUGCAUUUGUGUUUCCCAAGAUGCCAAUAAUCAAAUACUGCCAUUCGAAAACAACAUCAGAAGGACCAAAAACUGUCACAGGUGACGUUGCAGUUGUUGGCAUUCAGACCUUACCUAUAGUAGAAAAAAGAGAAUCAAAACAAUAGCGUAAAGGAAAUAAGCAAUUGAUAUAUGAAAUCAUUGAUUAUGCACUUGAUUUGUUCCUAACAUAUGUACUAACACUCUCUAUUUUCGUGGAUUCCUAUUAGAAGAUAUAGGAUCACACAGUUUAGGGGACCUACACUUCACUAAAAAGUAUGGUGAUCAAAGUUGGAGAUUGCUAUAUCCAUAAACUUGUGUGGCAAAGAAGAAGAUAUUGGGAACAUAACUAGUAAUGGUUCUCCAACUUUUUGAAAUGGACGAUGAGAACCUGACAAAACAUAAACUAAACAUCAAGUAGACUAGAUAUUUUCCUUGCAAAACUGUUAUAAAUCAAGGCGGUAAUGUGAGAUGAUUAAGAGAACACAAAAAGCAAUCAGCCGUGAGUUACUAGAGAAGCAAAGAUAAAAAGCCUUUUAGUUAGAGAAUUAGCCAUGAAGAGAGCCCAAAAGAUGUCAAUCAUGUAAUCAUCAUUUCAGUUACUAAUCAUAAAUAUUAGUAUUCAUAGGCAGCUUUAAUAUAGUAAUCAGAUGUAAUAAUCAGAAUGAAUAAACAAUCAUUAAGUAGUUUCAGAAUGCAAGAGUCAAGACUUUUCCUGACUCUCAAUUGGCAACCCAAGAGACCCAACUAAUCAGCUAUAAAAGGAAGAUAACAGAACUAGAGAUUUGAUAUAUGAUAGGGCAAAUCGCAAGUGCAUGAUUAUGUCGUCAAGUAAUAAAAUAUUGAUCUUAUGAGGACUAGAAAACUCCAUUGGUUAUAACAAUUAAUUUAUAUUUAACUCAAAUAAGGAAUAAAAUUGAAUUUAGAACAAUUGCCAAGAAUAAUUAUGAAAAUAAUCAAAAGGGAUUGAAAUCUAAUUUACGAAGAGUUCCCAAGAUAAGGGUUACCACCUUUACACUAGAAAAUCCUUGUUUUGCUCAUUUUCAUGAACUUUAGGUUGUAAGGAUGAAUUGUUCUUUGAUAUGUGUCAUCCUCUCUCGAGCUUCGGCACGUGUACUCAAUUGAAGUCGUACCUACUCUCGUGGUACAAUUAUCAAUCAAACCCUUUACUUGGAUCUUUCUAUCCAAUCGUUUCGUAGCAACCCAAGGUGAAUUCCAGAAACCCCCAAGAAUCCUAAUACUACUCUCGUGAAUUAGGAUUCUAGUUUGAAUAAUUGAAUGGUCGGAUAGGUGGGUUCACCUCUCGGUCCUUCUCCAAUGUAUCUAAGAGGUGUAAUUUGUUGGCCAGACAACUCACACAAAUAAAACACAGUUUAAUGUGAUGAUUCAAAUCACAAUACUCAAUGAAAUAGAAGUAAGAACAAAUAUUUAUUGAAUGUAAAGAAUGUAAAAUCCUUGAGGGAGAACCCUUAUUUAUCCUAAUUACAAAAUAUUGGGCUAAGCCCAACAAAACAAAUCUAAAAAAUAGGAAUAUAAUAUGACUUCUUUUGGUCCUUCAAUUGUUCUUCGUAUAGCCUCAACACCGAAUUCAAUCUUCUUGCACCCAAUCUCUACUCUUUUUUUGCUUUAAUUCAUCCAAACUGCACCAUAGCUAAAAACACUCGUUCAACUCGAACAAAGAGAAAUAAAAGCUAAAAAUAAUCCUACAGUCCUAAUUAUGUCCUAAAAUGCAAGUUAAAUGUAAUGCAUAUGUAGUAUAAUUUCUCACUGAUCAAUGUACGUGUAUAUUAUCACAUAGAGAAUAGAGAAUAUACACGCACAUUGAAACUAGAAAGUUCAGGCAGUGAUCCAUCACGUAUAGCCCAUAUACGCAUAUCACAAAUCAGAGGACAUCACACAAAUACAAAAAAAAAACAACUAGCAACAGAAGGCCAACCCUCGAAGAGCAAAGACUAGGAUCAUAUUCACAGGUAAGUUAAUCAUCCCUUUACUUACAUAAUUGCAAGAAAAAACACAUUUGUUAUCCAUUUAGUAUCACAAACAUAAAAAAAUAACAUACAUUCAGUAAGCAUGUUUAUAAGCAGUUUGUUAAUUGACAAAAUAAAUUUUACCUCAUGUCGGCAUCAUCUCCUUUGAAAAUUCCCUACUCGGCUUAGCCUUCACUAACCUUGCAGUGGUUCCAAGGCGUAAUUCCUGAUCCAAUGUCAAUACCGACAUUACUCUUUUUUUGUACCCUUCAAGAGCUUGAACCAACUCAUUCCACCAUAGAGGAGAGUACCGAAAUCCUCCAUAUCCAUGUAUUACCCAUAUGAAAGAACUCAUUGGUUUCAUCAAAGCAGAACACAUUCACUGAAACAUCUUUCAAAAAAAAUCAAUACGUCAAACCACCAUAGCCACCACGCUUGAACCGCGAAGGAUGAGAAGAGAGAAGAUGGCCAUACCUUGCUCAUCACCUUCGCCCAAACGGCUAGCCCCACACUUGAACCGCGAAUCACCAUAGAGGAAAUAUUAAAAAACGAACCGUGAAUCACCCUUGAGCUUGAUCCCUUUCUAGAGAAAGAGGGAAUGAAAUUAGGGAUUUGUUUCCCUUUUCCUUAGAUGGCACGAAGAUAUGGAGUUAUUACCCUAUUUCAUAAAAC
rnacentral:lncRNA from 1 species